GGGGCUUAUCGCCGGCCCGGCGUACAGCGCGAUCGCCAGCACGCCGCCCACGCACAGCACCACGCCGGCCAUCUUCGCCGCGCCCGACAAGCUCUUCAGCCGGAUCACUUCCACCCUGCAACCAUGAACGCAGAUCAGUAUUAAUUACUCAUUUGAUCAUUUCAGAUAGUAAAUCAAUGAUCAGCGUCAAGAAAUUGAUUAACCAGAGAUGGAUGAUUGAUUGAGCUCGCCUUAAUAGGAGUGCAAAGAAGAAGGUCACCACGGGAAUCGAAUUGGUUGUCGCCGAGGCCACCGUCGGGGAGGUGUACUUGAGGCCCAGGUUGUACAUGUUUAAGCUCAGUGUGUUCCUGCAAAUUGAAUCGAAAGCCAAGUUAAUCAGACGCAUCUUCUAUGAUUUUAUUGAUCCAAAUUAAAUCAUGCCUGCACCAUUGCUGUCUAAUCUUACCCAAGCAGAGCAUACAAGAAAAGCUUAGUGAACAACCGGAGCGACAUCGGUGGUGCAUUUCUCCUGCAAUAUGCAUGCUCAAAAUUUAGCCUGACUGACUCUAAUUCUUCCCUUCUUUUGCAAUAUUAUCGGAGAACCAAAUGAGGAAAAUUCAGUACAGUUGAUCGAUCGGUUACCUCUCAAGAACGAUGGCGAGAGGCAGCAGCAAGAGAGAGGCAGCUGCCUGGCGGUAGAAGAUGAAGACGAAGGUGUUCAUCCCAUGGUUGAAGGCUGCCUUGGAGAUAACAAACAGGCCUGUGUUGAUCAGCUGUAUGACGAUGACGAUGACAUAUGGCUUCUUGGCGUCCAUCGCUCAAUGGAAGAGUGCCAGCUAGAGUGGCAACAGGAGGGAGACGGCCGGCGAUGCCCGCGCGGCAGGAGGGGCGGCGGCCGGCGGCCCGCGCGGUGGGAGGGGCGGUGGCUGGCGGCCCGUGCGGCAGGGGCGCGGUGGCCGGCGAUGCUCACGCGGUGGGAGGGGCGGUGGCGGCGUGACGGCGGCUGAAUGACGGCGCACGCGGCGGGAGGGUGGUGGCCGGCGACGCCUACGCGGCGGGAGGGCGGCUGGAUGACAGCGCCCCGCGCGGCGUGACGGCGGCUGGACGACGGCGCGCGCGCGGCCGAAGGGGCGGCGGCCGACGGCCCGUGCGGCAGGGGCGCGGUGGCCGGUGGCCCGUGCGGCGGGAGGGCGGUGGCCGGCGACGCCCGCACGGUGGGAGGGCGGCUGGAUGACGGCGCCCCGCGCGGCGUGACAGCGGCUGGACGACGGCGCGCGCGGCCAGAGGGGCCGUGGCCGGCGCCCCGCGCGGUGGGAGGGCGGCUGGACGACGACGCGCGUGGCCAGAGGGCGGCAGCGGGACGGCGGCGCGCAGAGGCCGUUUGCGUGGAAGAGGAUGCGGGAGAAGGAAAGGGGAACUUUAGUUAGGGUUGACAGGGGCAUUUUGGUAUUUUCUAAAAAUACUGACAACACAAUACACGGUUUGAGCAACGUAUCUAAUGGAAACCUAACGGGAGGGGCAUGGAAGGGAUCAAAGCGAAAUUUCAGGGGUACAUAGAGGAUCGUGUAAAAUUCGAGGGUAUAGAAAGGAUUAUAUGAGUUUUCAUGUGUACAUAAGGGAUAUAGUCUUCUUCUUUCCCUUUUUCUAGUUUGUAUAAUAUUGAUGUGGUUAGGUUAGUGUUAACUACCUCAAUUUUCUUAAUAUGUAAUGUAAGUUGACUUAUUAGAUAUAUAUGUCUGAUCAUUUGUCUUA